AAUUACCUGCCUUGUUUGUGAUAGGAAUGGAAACUUAUUCCGACAUUAAAGAAUCCGGGAGCCAGCGUAAUGCAAGUGUUGAGCGCCCUGAAACUAUGGGGAAAAUGCCUGAUCUUGCUUUCAAGGCACCCACCUGUUUUACAGGGAUUCAAGUUUUGUUCUACACGGCAAGGUGGGUCUUUU
rnacentral:other from 1 species